UCUAUUUUGGCAGAUAAGUGCAAUGAAUUUAGAAUUCAUUUAUGUAAAUCAAUUUUACAGAUAGAA
rnacentral:tRNA from 2 species